UGUUUUAUUAAAUUAUAUUUUUAUAAUAAUACAUAUAAUUGAGAAGGUGUAAGUAGAGUAUUUUAUAUUUGUCAUUAGAUAAAUUUAUACAAAUAAAAAUAGUCUAUAUUUUUUCUCUUAAAUAUUUUUUCAUUAUAAUUUUUUUAGAUAUCAUAUAUUUUAUUUUAUUUUUGAAUGAUGUCAUAUCAAUUUAUAUUUGUACUAGUCUUAUGAUUUAACAAAAUAAUAUUAUUAA
rnacentral:lncRNA from 1 species